AAAAUCCGUGUGGCAAUACGAAGACGUGACGCGGACCGAAAUAAAGUAGGGAAGCAUGUGAGCCAUGUGCCAAGAAAAGCCGCUAUAGAUCAUACCGUACCCGUACCGUAAACCGACACAGGUAGAUGAGGAGAGAAUCCUAAGGCCGACGGGAGAAGCAUUGUUAAGGAACUCGGCAAAAUGACCCCGUAACUUCGGGAGAAGGGGUGCCCACGCGAGUGGGCCGCAGAGAAUAGGCUCAAGCAACUGUUUAGCAAAAACACAGGUCUAUGCGAAACCGAAAGGUGAGGUAUAUGGGCUGACGCCUGCCCGGUGCUGGAAGGUUAAGAGGAGGAGUCAGGCAACGAAGCUCCGAAUUUAAGCCCCAGUAAACGGCGGCCGUAACAAUAACGGUCCUAAGGUAGCGAAAUUCCUUGUCGGGUAAGUUCCGACCCGCACGAAAGGCGUAAUGAUUUGAGCACUGUCUCGACAAUGCACCCGGUGAAAUUGAAGUACCAGUGAAGAUGCUGGUUACCUGCGCCAGGACGGAAAGACCCCAUGGAGCUUUACUCCAGUUUGAUACUGGGAUUCGAUACUGAAUGUACAGGAUAGGUGGGAGGCUGAGAAGCGUGGACGCCAGUCUGCGGUGAGCCGCUGUUGGGAUACACCCUUUGAGUAUUGGAUUUCUAACCUGCGCCCGUGACCCGGGCGGGGGACAAUGUCUGACGGGGAGUUUGACUGGGGCGGUCGCCUCCGAAAGGGUAUCGGAGGCGCCCAAAGGUUCCCUCAGAAUGGUUGGAAACCAUUCGCAGAGUGCAAAGGCAGAAGGGAGCUUGACUGUGACACCGACGGGUGGAGCAGGUACGAAAGUAGGACUUAGUGAUCCGGUGGUAUGAAAGUGGGAUUGCCGUCGCUCAACGGAUAAAAGCUACCCUGGGAUAACAGGCUUAUCACUCCCAAGAGUUCACAUCGACGGAGUGGUUUGGCACCUCGAUGUCGGCUCAUCGCAUCCUGGGGCUGUAGCAGGUCCCAAGGGUUGGGCUGUUCGCCCAUUAAAGCGGUACGCGAGCUGGGUUCAGAACGUCGUGAGACAGUUCGGUCCCUAUCCGGCACAGGCGUAGGAUAUUUGAGAGGAGCUGUCCUUAGUACGAGAGGACCGGGAUGGACAGACCGCUGGUGUAUCUGUUGGUGACCAACACCAUGGCAGAGUAGCCAAGUCUGGCAGGGAUAAACGCUGAAGGCAUCUAAGCGUGAAGCCCCCCUCAAGAUGAGAUAUCCCAAUAAGUAAGACCCCUUAGAGAGUAUGAGGUAGAUAGGCUUAAGGUGUAAGCAUAGUAAUAUGUUCAGCUGAUAAGUACUAAUAGGUCGAGGGCUUAUCUAC
rnacentral:rRNA from 1 species